rnacentral:rRNA from 1 species
GUCCUUAGUUACCAGCACGUAUGGUGGGCACUCUAAGGAGACUGCCGGUGGACAAACCGGAGGAAGGUGGGGAUGACGUCAAGUCAUCAUGGCCCUUACGGCCUGGGCUACACACGUGCUACAAUGGUCGGUACAAAGGGUUGCCAAGCCGCGAGGUGGAGCUAAUCCCAUAAAACCGAUCGUAGUCCGGAUCGCAGUCUGCAACUCGACUGCGUGAAGUCGGAAUCGCUAGUAAUCGUGAAUCAGAAUGUCACGGUGAAUACGUUCCCGGGCCUU